rnacentral:lncRNA from 1 species
UCAAAACACAAAAUGUUGAAAAGUGAGUCUGACUGUUAAGGUUUAACACUGACACCUUUUAGAAAUAGUAAUAAAUAAUAAUUUACACAAUACAUAGUAUUAACCUAUAUUAUUUGCAUCCAAUUAAUAUAGUUUGUUACCUAAAAUCUCCCCAUUCUAUUAAAGAUUGAUAACAUUAUAAUAUAUAAUAUAUAUAUGUUUCUCUCUGCUGUAUUUACCCUCUGUGUGCAUUUCUGUCAUGGUUCCCUGUUGAAGCCUUAUUACUUAAAAUCUUACUGUUUUUUCCACUGACUCAGGUUGUAUCUGACCCCAGUGAGGGAUGAAGAAGCGGAGUCUCAGAGGAAAGCAAAGUCUCGUCAUGCCAGACAGACCCGCAGGUCAACACAGGUAUUGUAGAGAACAAAUUAUUUACAGAAGUUUAGGUUUUAUGGGAUUUUGUUUGACUCUUGACGGAUAUUAGGUUGUAUGUCCUGCAGGGUGUGACUCUGACAGACCUGAAAGAGGCUCAGAAGACCAUUAGUCUGGCUCCUCAAGACAGACAGAUGGAGGAAGGAGACACUCUGGAUGAAAGGUCCUGUCUGAGGAAAGGCUUGACAGAUGACAGGAGAGUAAUAAUCGGCCUGACAGAGUCCACGGAAACAACAGAGAUAAGUCCAAAAUGGAGUAAAAUGGACGAGGUUAGCAAGAGAAAUUAAUGCAGAAAAUCACUCUUCCUGCUACUGAAAUGGUUGGUUUGUAAGUUUGGAGGUUGUUUAUUCAUCAUCAAGUUCUUCAUUUUUCUCUUACGCAUGUACAGCAGGGGAACAUUGAACCCAGGUUAGAAACCCUCACUGAGUCUUCAAUACCAAACCUUUCAUAUUCGUCUGUUGCUGGAUCCUGUGGUCUGACUUACUGCAACAACUCAUUCAGAGCUGGUGAGAGAUGGUGGAGAGAUGAAAAUCAGAACCCUGUUGAAGAUGCAGCACAGCUCAGCUUAGCUACAAAGCAGCAACAGAGACGACACUGCUACGAUGUCGAAGGUUCAGACUUCAACACUGCGGAGGUACGUGGAAACUACUGUGCUCUUUUAACAGUCACAUAAAAAAAAGAUGAUUUCAGCCACUCUGCUUGGUGGCAAUCUAUUUCCUGUUGUUUUCCCAUAGGGCCACUAGAUGGAGCCAAAAGACUUU